rnacentral:rRNA from 1 species
GCGACCCCACGUCAGGCGGGACUACCCGCUGAGUUUAA